rnacentral:misc_RNA from 1 species
CCCACAGACAAUGCUUCUCCUCUACAUAACGGUUGAUGACGGGUAAGGGCUAAAUUGCAACAAUAUGAAAGUCACCCCUUUAAAUUGGUGAUCCCACUGUUGACCAAAAAUACUGGGGGAAACCACCUAAUAGCCCCCAAGGAAAUUUAAAAUGGAAUAUAACAUAGAUAUGUAAACAUCUGUAGAAUGGUGAUUUUAGAAUCAAAAGUCACAACGGUUGGGUGAAUAGGUAGCGGAGUAAGGGAGCAACCACUGCUAUACUUAAACUGUUUCCCAGCAACGCAUAACGUUGUCUAAGGCUUAUGUGCUGUGGAAAAUGAAAAUCCUCAGGGAAAGAAUGCAAAUUAGCAACCUCCCUAGGGGUAAAAUAUCUUAGGCCUUGGUCCUUCAAUGAAGAUGUUUUCCCCUUAUCCUUUGGCUGGACAGUUGCUAGCAGGGAUCCAGUCCCUUUCACAUAUCUAU